CGUGGGUAACCUGCCUUAUAGUGGGGGAUAGCCUUUCGAAAGGAAGAUUAAUACCGCAUAAGAUUGUAGUAUCGCAUGAUAUAGCAAUUAAAGGAGCAAUUCGCUAUAAGAUGGACCCGCGUCGCAUUAGCUAGUUGGUGAGGUAAUGGCUCACCAAGGCGACGAUGCGUAGCCGACCUGAGAGGGUGAUCGGCCACAUUGGGACUGAGACACGCCCAGACUCCUACGGGAGGCAGCAUG
rnacentral:rRNA from 1 species